rnacentral:rRNA from 1 species
UCGAGCCAUAUCCCCCUGUAGAUCUCGUCUGGUUUCCCACUGAAGCUAAGCGGGGUGAGUUUGGCCAGUACCUGGAUGGAAGACCCUCUGGGGAAAACUAAGCUUUCUGCUGGAA